UACGUAGGGGGCAAGCGUUGUCCGGAAUCAUUGGGCGUAAAGAGCGUGUAGGCGGUCCGGUAAGUCCGCUGUGAAAGUCAAGGGCUCAACCCUUGAAUGCCGGUGGAUACUGUCGGGCUAGAGUCCGGAAGAGGCGAGUGGAAUUCCUGGUGUAGCGGUGAAAUGCGCAGAUAUCAGGAGGAACACCAAUGGCGAAGGCGACUUCCUGGCCUGUUCUUGACGCUGAGGCGCGAAAGCUGGGGGAGCAAACGGG
rnacentral:rRNA from 1 species